AAAGCAGGCCAGGCAGUCGCGGCUUUGUCGGUCACGGCCGGCGAAGGCGAGGAAAGUCCGGACUCCAUAGGGCAGGGUGAUGGCUAACGGCCAUCCGUGGCGACACGCGGAACAGGGCAACAGAAAGCAAACCGCCGAUGGCCUGGCGAAAGCCAGGAUCAGGUAAGGGUGAAACGGUGCGGUAAGAGCGCACCGCGGCUGCGGUAACGUAGCCGGCAUGGCAACCUCCACCCGGAGCAAUUCCAAGUAGGCAGGCGUGCAUCUUCGCGAUGCAGGACGGGGCCCCCGUUUCGUCUGCGGGUAGGAAGCUUGAGCGCGUCAGCAAUGGCGCGCCUAGAGGAAUGGCUGCCACGCGCGGUACGUCUUCGGGCGUGCGGCGUGCACAGAAUCCGGCUUAUCGGCAGGCUUUGCCG
rfam:Paraburkholderia sp. SOS3 chromosome 1, complete sequence.